rnacentral:ncRNA from 2 species
GGGUGUAACGGCACGGGGGUUCGUUACAGGCGCUCUGGGUGGUCGGGCCGCCAUCC